AUGUCUCCUUUUAUUCGCUCUAUGUAUCGCCGAGCGUUGUGGCCAACAUCCUCUCCUCUCCUUUCCCCUCGCUCACUUCCUCCUCCCUCACCCGUAGAACCCUAGCCGCCUUCUCCCGCAGCACCUCAGCCGCCUCUUCUCCCUCUCCACCCAGCCGCCCCUCUCCUCGACUCGGCUCGAGUGCGCACUCGAGCCAAUCCUCCGUGUCGCCUCCUCCUCCCCUCCACUUCUCUCCUCCUCUCGAAGCCCCAGCGUGUGGUCGCCGCUGCCGUUCAUCUCUUUCUUCCCACGAUGCCUCCCCAUCCUCCAUCAGCCGUCGCUGUGCGCCGUUGUUCUGGACCGGUCGGAGGUCGCUGCAAAGGAGCGGAGCAGGACAACGCGAAGCAGCAGGGGAAGAGGGGAGCAGCAGCCGUGCCAGCCAGCGCGCAUCUCGUCGCAACGCGUGCAGCUGCAGCAAGCUGAAGACGCGGCCCUCCAUCAGCGGACGAGCGGCAGUCAGCACGAGGUCGGGGUGGAGGGCCAUGAGCACCAGGAGGUGCGUCGAGGGGCACCAGGAGGCACCAUGGUCACUGUGGGAGCACGCCAAACCUGAAGGCCAUCACCAGCCGCUGUCCACGCCCCAGAGCUUAGAAAAAAGGAGUUAAAGUUUCAGCCAUGAUUGAGACGACGUUCUUCUCCCUCAGCGCGCGCCAUGGCGGUCCCUCCUCGUCGCCACCCCUCUCCUUGACUCGGCGGGACGAGGGGAGCAGGGGCAGCAGCCAGUCGCUGCCCAGUAGCAGAGGAGGACGGCAGUGGGGGGAAGGAGCAGAGGAAGACGUCACUGGGGAAGGAGCAGAGAGGCUGGUGUUCCAAACGGCGCUUGCAUCAUGUGCCGGACGCUACUCUCCGGCCCUCGUCAUCGUCCCCAAUCUAGGCAUGAUGUAUGAAAAUCUGAAAAGCAAAGGAAGAAUCCCGACGAAGAGUUUGGUGAUGGGGAAUAGGAUGAGUUCUUUCUCUCUCUCAUCCACGUUUGUUCCUACAUUUUUAUUUUGAUGUUAUGGUUUAUUCUAUCCCUUCUUAGAUUAAACUUCUUUGAACCAUCUAAAUCUCUUUGUUCAAUGACUCUGAGUUUACCACUCCUUGUAUCUUAACCUUCUUGCUUCAGCAGGGUUAGUUGUUGGGUCAUAUGUGUUGUUGACUAUGAAGGUUAGGUUCCUUCCCACUCCCUUUUGGGUUUCUUCCUGUUGGAAUUGAUGUGGCCUGAUUCUUUCUUUGUCACUAUCUAGAUAUGUGUUCUUAUGAAAGUUAUCUAUUGCCUUAUUGGAAUUUCUCUGUUAUGUCAUGCACAUUGCUACCUUCAGGUUGUUUAAUUAUUUAAUAUGGAACACAUUGGCAUUAUAUGAAAAGAGGCACAUAUAUGAUUCUUUGCAUUUUUGCAAUGUCGUGACUGCAGAGGUACCCUUCUCUCUGUAACAAAUCUGAAUCUUUGCAUAUUGGGUUUGCAUAUGCUUGCGAGUACCUACUCUAUUUGCGCUCAAAUACCAUAUGUUAUGCACUGGUAGAGGUAAAAGAGAAAUUCAGAGAAAGAUAAAAAGAAAAGGACAGAGGAUGCAAAGGAAAAUGAUACUUGGAUAGUUACAUCUACAGUUUAGAUAUUGCUAAAAUUGGUUGCUCCUCUCCUAUUUAGUGAAAUAUGUAUGUGCUUUUUUAUGUUCUGUGGUUAGGACCGACAACUUGAUUAGGUGCAGCCUACUUCAACUAACACAUCUUUAAACUAAACUGAACAAAUCCAUUUAGUUUGUCUACUUCUGAAUUUAUGUUUCUAUGGUGUCAUUGUUUCAGUUUGUGUUGCACAUUUAUGUGUCAAACGACAACUAUCAAACAAGAAAAAUGCUUGCCAGCUAUAACCUACCCCUGACCUCUGUGUUUAUCUUUUCAUGGUCAUGGAAAAUGAAAUGCUCAUGAACCACCACUUUCUUUCAUGCCGACAAGGGCUGUCGAUCCACCCAGCGCGUGGGUAGCUGCACGGAUCUCCAAUAUAGCCCCCUCCCUAUGGCACCGUUCCACCGUGCUGACUAGCAUUGAAUAUGCCAUGGAUCUACCAAGCAGCCGCCUUAGCAUGGUCAUCCAUAACGCUAUCCUGCUUCCAUGCAAGCUCAGGAUGUUGAGUAGGCCUGCCUUAUUAUGAAACCUGGCGAUUUAGUGGUACCAUGGUGGCUGACCAAGAGGAGGAGGAAACCUUCCCAUGAAUUUCCAUGGAGGCUUGGCAGAAGCAGAUUAGUUGUUUUCUCUAUUAUAUCAGGUGGCACUUGGCUUCUCAUAAAUGACUCAUCAUUUUCCUGAACAAUGGUUAUUGUACACUUAUGCUAGAGAUAUGGAGAUCAGGACUGGAUUUGUUUAUUGUUUAUGCUUCGGGAGGAAUUACAGUUGUGGACCUGUAGAUGAAUUGCCAUGGAGGCUUGGCAGAAACAACGGUUCCCUCGGCAGUGGCUGCGAGGGGUGUAGCUUGCUGAAGAAAUGGGCUUUUUUGUAGCUCCAGGUAUAGAAGAGUAUAAAACCAAAUUAUAUGAUGUAAUUGACUACUAUUUCUAUUAACUUCUCCUGUAAACAAUGUUCACGAGUUCA